rnacentral:rRNA from 1 species
AUACGAAGGGGGCUAGCGUUGUUCGGAAUUACUGGGCGUAAAGCGCACGUAGGCGGAUAUUUAAGUGAGGGGUGAAAUCCCAGGGCUCAACCCUGGAACUGCCUCUCAUACUGGGUAUCUCGAGUUCGAGAGAGGUGAGUGGAAUUGCGAGUGUAGAGGUGAAAUUCGUAGAUAUUCGCAGGAACACCAGUGGCGAAGGCGGCUCACUGGCUCGAUACUGACGCUGAGGUGCGAAAGCGGGGGGAGCAAACAGGAUUAGAUACCCUGGUAGUCCACGCCGUAAACGAUGGAUGCUAGCCGUCGGGCAGUUUACUGUUCGGUGGCGCAGCUAACGCAUUAAGCAUCCCGCCUGGGGAGUACGGUCGCAAGAUUAAA